rnacentral:rRNA from 1 species
AGUGAACGCUGGCGGUAGGCCUAACACAUGCAAGUCGAACGGCAGCACAGUAAGAGCUUGCUCUUACGGGUGGCGAGUGGCGGACGGGUGAGGAAUACAUCGGAAUCUACUUUUUCGUGGGGGAUAACGUAGGGAAACUUACGCUAAUACCGCAUACGACCUACGGGUGAAAGCAGGGGAUCUUCGGACCUUGCGCGAUUGAAUGAGCCGAUGUCGGAUUAGCUAGUUGGCGGGGUAAAGGCCCACCAAGGCGACGAUCCGUAGCUGGUCUGAGAGGAUGAUCAGCCACACUGGAACCGAGACACGGUCCAGACUCCUACGGGAGGCAGCAGUGGGGAAUAUUGGACAAUGGGCGCAAGCCUGAUCCAGCCAUACCGCGUGGGUGAAGAAGGCCUUCGGGCUGUAAAGCCCUUUUGUUGGGAAAGAAAAGCAGCAGGUUAAUACCCCGCUGUUCUGACGGUACCCAAAGAAUAAGCACCGGCUAACUUCGUG